CCUACGGGAGGCUGCAGUAGGGAAUCUUCCACAAUGGGCGAAAGCCUGAUGGAGCAACGCCGCGUGGGUGAAGAAGGUCUUCGGAUCGUAAAACCCUGUUGUUAGAGAAGAAAGUGCGUGAGAGUAACUGUCCACGAUUCGACGGUACCUAACCAGAAAGCCACGGCUAACUACGUGCCAGCAGCCGCGGUAAUACGUAGGGGGCAAGCGUUAUCCGGAUUUAUUGGGCGUAAAGGGAACGCAGGCGGUAUGUUAAGUCUGAUGUGAAAGCCCUGGGCUUAACCGGGGUAGUGCAUUGGAAACUGGGAGACUGGAGUGCAGGAGAGGAGAGUGGAACUCCAGGUGUAGCGGUGAAAUGCGUAGAUAUAUGGAAGAACACCAGUGGCGAAGGCGACUCUCUGGUCUAUAACUGACGCUGAGGUUCGAAAGCGUGGGUAGCAAACAGGAUUAGAUACCCUAGUAGUC
rnacentral:rRNA from 1 species